rnacentral:rRNA from 1 species
CCUACGGGGAGCAGCAGUGGGGGAUAUUGCACAAUGGGGGGAACCCUGAUGCAGCGACGCCGCGUGGGUGAAGGAGUGCUUCGGCAUGUAAAGCCCUAUCGGCAGGGAGGAAGCAAGACGGUACCUGACUAAGAAGCCCCGGCUAACUACGUGCCAGCAGCCGCGGUAAUACGUAGGGGGCGAGCGUUAUCCGGAUUCACUGGGGGUAAAGGGAGCGUAGACGGCCAUGCAAGCCAGGGGUGAAAGCCCGGGGCCCAACCCCGGGACUGCCCUUGGAACUGUGCGGCUAGAGUGCGGGAGGGGCAGGCGGAAUUCCUGGUGUAGCGGUGAAAUGCGUAGAUAUCAGGAGGAACACCGGCGGCGAAGGCGGCCUGCUGGACUGCGACUGACGUUGAGGCUCGAAAGCGUGGGGAGCGAACAGGGUUAGAUACCCAGUAGUC